rnacentral:lncRNA from 1 species
CCCAGCUACUCAGGAGGCUGAGACAGGAGAAUCGCUUGAACCAAGCAGUGGAGACUGCAGUGAGCUGAGAUCGUGCCACUGCACUCCAGCCUGGGCGACAGACUGAGACUCUGUCGAGAAGGGGGGGGGAGGGGAGGGGAGGGGAGGGGAGGGGAGAAGAGAAGAGAAGAGAAGAGAAGAGAAGAGAAGAGAAGAGAAGAGAAGAGAAGAGAAGAGAAGAGAAGAGAUGAGAUCCUGGAUGAUUAACACUCCCAGAAAAAGCCAAAUGUAGCAUCCAUUCAUCUCUGCCUGCUGUCCAAACCACACACAAGUGACGGACGCUAAAACCACACUGGAUUCGCUGCAUUAUCCUUCAAUGUCUCCUCCCCUGACUCCCUCAUCACUCACCCAAUUAUCUGCUACCCCGACUCCUCCCUUGCCCCUGGUCCACCCCAAAGGCUAUGGCCCAGGGAGCAUGGGGAGGGUCCCCCAGUCCCACCCUCAAGGCACUGUGGGAGCUCAGGCCCUGACUCAGGACCCCUGAGCUCUGAUCCUGCAUCCUCCCUGUCUCAGUUAAGGGACCUGAGGGACGCUUUUCACCCUAAAUCACCUAAGCCUCAGUUUCCUUAGGACAGCAGGCAAUGUCUCCCAGGGCUGCCGAGUCGAGGAGGAGGAUAGAGGUACUGUUUUGCCCAUAAACAUGCUUCCUAAGCCUUUGUAACUUGCUAAUUUCCUCUGAUACUUCCAUUGGCCCUAAAUAGGCUUUUCUGGUGUGUCAACAGGCCCUCUUUGAAUUCCUAUUUUAGGAUAAAAUAGCCGCCCACUCCAAGUAACUCUCUACCCUUUAGAAAUGCCCUGGACUGCUACCCUAGUGGAUUCUCCCUCUCCCCGCUCUGACACUGAAAUCAAGAGCGAUAGAGCUGUGUUUCUGAUUAAACACGGAGGAUCUUCUCUGCCCCUCAGCAAAGAUCUCACUCAACUGAGAGUACCUGGAUGGGGAGACAUAAAUCCAUAUAAACAAGUAGAAAACAAACAGGCUGGGGAGUGAUUUCCAGACCAUCGGGGGAGCUGGAGAGCAGGCUGGUGCAGUGGCUAACCAGGAUACAGAAGGCGGGCUUGGCACCCGGGGUUGGGACCAGCAAAGAGCAGGGAAUCUGAACUACCCCUGGGAGGGCACUGAACGCAAAGGGAUGCGCAAAUCCCCAUAAACAACAGGAAGACACCCCUGCCCCACCCCCACCCCGGCUUCCCAGAGCAGCAGCAGGCAGAGCUGGAAGACCCAAGGCUGCAGGGCACACGUCUCCAAACACUGAACCAGGAGAGAGAGAACACAGGACUCAUUGCUUACCUGAGGGGCCUAAGAAGACUGUCUGGGGAUAAAUUAGGGAUUAGGCAUGGAGAACACCGAACCCACAG